UACGUAGGUGACAAGCGUUGUCCGGAUUUACUGGGCGUAAAGAGCGCGCAGGCGGUCGAUCAAGUCGAGUGUGAAAGCCCCCGGCUCAACUGGGGAGGGUCACGCGAUACUGAUCGACUCGAAGGCAGGAGAGGGUAGUGGAAUUCCCGGUGUAGUGGUGAAAUGCGUAGAUAUCGGGAGGAACACCAGUGGCGAAGGCGACUACCUGGCCUGUUCUUGACGCUGAGGCGCGAAAGCUAGGGGAGCGAACAGG
rnacentral:rRNA from 1 species